UCUGGUUGAUCCUGCCAGUAGUCAUAUGCUUGUCUCAAGGAUUAAGCCAUGCAUGUCUAAGUAUAAAUAGUAUACAGUGAAACUGCGAAUGGCUCAUUAAAACAGUUAUAGUUUAUUUGAUAAUUGACAAUUACAUGGAUAACCGUGGUAUUUCUAGAGCUAAUACAUGCUUAAACGCCCGACUUUAUGGAAGGGUGGUAUUUAUUAGACUGAAGCCAAUAUUCCUUGUGUCUAUUGCGGUGAUUCAUAAUAACCGAUCGAAUCUCUUUUUGAGAUAAAUCAUUCAAGUUUCUGCCCUAUCAGCUUUCGAUGGUAGUGUAUUGGACUACCAUGGCAGUAACGGGUAACGAAGAAUUAGGGUUCGAUUUCGGAGAGGGAGCAUGAGAAACGGCUACCACAUCUAAGGAAGGCAGCAGGCGCGUAAAUUACCCAAUCCUGACUCAGGGAGGUAGUGACAAGAAAUAGCAAACCGGGAACCUCAUGGUUUCACGGUAUUGCAAUGAGAACAAUUUAAAACCCUUAGCGAGAAUCAAGUGGAGGACAAGUCUGGUGCCAGCACCCGCGGUAAUUCCAGCUCCACUAGCGUAUAUUAAAGUUGUUGCAGUUAAAAAGCUCGUAGUUGAACCUCUGUCUGGGGCUAGUUUUGGCUUUGGUCAGGCUAGUUCUAGGCAUCCGCCUACAAGACUUAGAGGGCAUUCAGUUGUUCACUAGGAGGAGUAGGCAUUUUACUUUGAAAAAAUUAGAGUGUUUAAGGCAGGCAAUCGCCCGCAUAUAUUAGCAUGGAAUAAUAGAAUAGGACACUUUUCCAUUUCGUUGGUUAUUGGAAUCGUGUAAUGAUUAAUAGGGACAGUUGUGGGCAUUUGUAUUUAAUUGUCAGAGGUGAAAUUCUUGGAUUUAUUAAAGACAAACUAACGCGAAAGCAUUUGCCAAGGGUGUUUUCAUUAAACAAGAACGAAAGUUAGGGGAUCAAAGACGAUCAGAUACCGUCCUAGUCUUAACUAUAAACUAUUCCGACUCAAUGUUUGACUGGCUUAUAUAACCAGUUGAGCGUUGUAUGAGAAAUCAAAGUCUUUAGGUUCUGGGGGGAGUAUGGUUGCAAAGCUGAAACUUAAAGGAAUUGACGGAAGAGCACAACCAGGAGUGGAUUCUGCGGCUUAAUUUGACUCAACACGGGGAAACUUACCAGGUUAAAACAAUAGUGGGAUUGACAGUUUGAGAGCGCUUUCUUGAUUGGUUGGGUGGUGGUGCAUGGCCGUUCUUAGUUGGUGGAGUGAUUUGUCUGCUUAAUUGCGUUAACGAACGAGACCUUAACCUGCUUACUAGACUGG
rnacentral:rRNA from 1 species